rnacentral:rRNA from 1 species
UACGUAGGGUGCAAGCGUUGUCCGGAAUUAUUGGGCGUAAAGAGCUCGUAGGCGGUCUGUCGCGUCUGCUGUGAAAACUCAGGGCUUAACCCUGAGCUUGCAGUGGGUACGGGCAGACUAGAGUGCGGUAGGGGAGACUGGAAUUCCUGGUGUAGCGGUGAAAUGCGCAGAUAUCAGGAGGAACACCGGUGGCGAAGGCGGGGUCUCUGGGGCCGUAAAC